rnacentral:tRNA from 1 species
AGCUCGGUAGCGCAAUGGUAGUGCAUCUGUCUUCUGAACGGAAAGUUCUCGGUUCAACUCCGAGUCGAGCUG